UACGUAGGGCGCAAGCGUUGUCCGGAAUUAUUGGGCGUAAAGUGCUCGUAGGCGGUUUGUCGCGUCUGCUGUGAAAACCUAAGGCUCAACCUUGGGCUUGCAGUGGGUACGGGCAGACUAGAGUGCGGUAGGGGAGACUGGAAUUCCUGGUGUAGCGGUGGAAUGCGCAGAUAUCAGGAGGAACACCGAUGGCGAAGGCAGGUCUCUGGGCCGCAACUGACGCUGAGGAGCGAAAGCAUGGGGAGCGAACAGG
rnacentral:rRNA from 1 species